rnacentral:lncRNA from 1 species
UGGAUAUUUGACCGUGUAUCCAGAGCAUGGUAGUAGUAACAUCACCAAUAGGAGUCCAAGCACCACCAGCAUUUGCUGCUAUCACAACAACAGCUCCUAGAAGCCUAUUGCAAUAUAUAUUCAUAUAAAUGGUUUUAAGAAAAUUGAAUCAACGUGUUACUAAUGGUUCUCAAUGUACUAUCCUAAUAUACCAAGAGUUGACUCGAUUGUGUAACGUACUUGCGGUAUUCCGAUGGAGGUACUAGUUUCCUCAACAAAGAAACCAUGACUAUUGUAGAUGUCAGAUUGUCAAGGAUGGAACUAAGAAAAAACGUCACGAAACCAACC